GAAAGUCCCAAAUUGGGAAGGAAGAAGAGUAAGAAGAACGAUUUGCCUACAUAUUUUAGAUUUGGUACUUGGCUGAAUAUAGUAAAAGAAUAUUGACCAAUAGGAUUUAUCUCUGGAAUGCAAGAUGUCGCAAGGGAAGACAUGGAACAAAGAAGACUUGGUGGAUCGACUAGAAGACAAGGAUGGGGAAGAGGGAGACACCAAGAAGUGUGCAAAAUGAGAUGGGCUCCCAGAUGUCAGGACUGAUUUGGAGACGCCAUCUGACUAUGGCUGAGCCCAGAGCUGCUGCUUCCGCUCUCCGUGGUAACCAGUGACUCAUGACAAGUGGGACCUAUCCACUGACAUGCCGUGGAGACACCUGAGAGACAUCAAAUUUACAGAGCCCAGGCCUUCCAAUAACUCACAUGCCCCGCCUUCCCCAACCUGCCCAGUGCCUCUCUGCCCAUAGUAGUCCCUUCAUAAAUACUGACCAGAGCUUCAGGAGCAUGUCAUCUCUGUCACUUAAGAGAGGCCCUGGGGAGUCCAGUUUGGGAACAACGGCAGGUUCCAGCCUGAAGUCUGGCCUCAGCUGCUUCCCCCGACGACACCCCAAGGCCACCUGGGAGCUCAUUUCAGAGGUGACGUUGGGCACUCAUAGCUCUGCACAGCCUCUUUUCACAAGCUCCUUUCUCAAAUCCCCCCAUC